rnacentral:misc_RNA from 1 species
UGGUUCUCGCAACGAUGAAGAACGCAGCGAAAUGCGAUACGUAAUGUGAAUUGCAGGUUUUCGUGAAUCAUCGAAUCUUUGAACGCAUAUUGCGCCCUCUGGUAUUCCGGAGGGCAUGCCUGUUUGAGCGUCAUUUCUCUCUCAAACCUUUGGGUUUGGUAUUGAGUGAUACUCUCUUACUGGGUUAACUUGAAAUACUGUGGCAAGAGCUGCUAUUGCAGAUCUCCUCUGAACUAACGUUUCUAGGUUUUACCAAUUCGUUAUGGACAGUUGAAAUCGGUUAUGGCUUUUAAGCUCGGCCUUUACAAUAUCUUCCUAAGUUUGACCUCAAAUCAGGUAGGAUUACCCGCUGA